CUUCCCGAAAUGGCAAAGGCGUUAUUAGUGUCCCCGUUGAAGGACCACAUGAGAAACUAAAAGUGACCCGCGAAACCAGUUAAUAGACAUCUAUUGGCACUUUUGACUUGAGACUUGAGAGGGAGGGAAAAUUAUUUUUGGAUCUGCAUCUCUCUCCUCCGCGAUCUGGUGCGCCGCGCGUGAAGGGGAAGAACUCUUUCACUCCGGAUCUGCUUCUCUCUCCUCGGUGAUCUGCGGUUGAAUUUGAUGUUAGGCGCGCAAAAGAGAAGGACAAAACUAUUCUCUCCCAUCGGUGAUCUGGUUAGGGUUUAGAUUUCCUUAAUUUUCCUUAAAAUCUAGCGAUUUGGCAGGGAGAGACACGGACAGGUAGAGAAAAUCGGCGAGAAAUCUCUCUAGAUUGACCAUACAUUUUACAAGAGGAUCUCAUCUGCUUUGGAGCAAAUCAAGGUUCUACAAAGGCCUUGUUCCUCUCGUGUUGCGUUUGAUUCCAUCUGAGAAACAGCGAGCAGGUGUCUACAACAUUCGUGAUUCAUCCCAGUGCUUAUGACUUUUGUUCAUGUUUAUCAUAUAAGGACUCGGUUAUGUUGUGAUCCUCUCCUUGUUGUGUCAGGUGCUCAGCGGGGUAUCCAUGAUGCAUUCCAAGUUUUUGCGGGUCUGUAAGUUUUUUCCCACAUUGACAAUUAUUUAGUUUUUAUGGUUUACUUUUGACCUUAAUUAAUCCACGAACUUCACUUCUCAAA